GAUGAACGCUGGCGGCGUGCCUAAUACAUGCAAGUCGAGCGAACAGAUCAGGAGCUUGCUCCUUUGACGUUAGCGGCGGACGGGUGAGUAACACGUGGGUAACCUACCUAUAAGACUGGAAUAACUCCGGGAAACCGGGGCUAAUGCCGGAUAACCUUUAGAACCGCAUGGUUCUAAAGUGAAAUAUGGUUUUACUAUCACUUAUAGAUGGACCCGCGCCGUAUUAGCUAGUUGGUAAGGUAACGGCUAACCAAGGCAACGAUACGUAGCCGACCUGAGAGGGUGAUCGGCCACACUGGAACUGAGACACGGUCCAGACGCCUACGGGAGGAAGCAGUAGGGAAUAGUCCGCAAUGGGCGAAAGCCUGACGGAGCAACGCCGCGUGAGUGAUGAAGGUCUUCGGAUCGUAAAACUCUGUUAUUAGGGAAGAACAAAUGUGUAAGUAACUGUGCACGUCUUGACGGUACCGAAUCAGAAAGCCACGGCUAACUACGUG
rnacentral:rRNA from 1 species